UUUAUGGAGAGUUUGAUCCUGGCUCAGGAUGAACGCUGGCGGCGUGCCUAAUACAUGCAAGUCGAGCGAACAGAUAAGGAGCUUGCUCCUUUGACGUUAGCGGCGGACGGGUGAGUAACACGUGGGUAACCUACCUAUAAGACUGGAAUAACUCCGGGAAACCGGGGCUAAUGCCGGAUAACAUUUAGAACCGCAUGGUUCUAAAGUGAAAGAUGG
rnacentral:rRNA from 1 species